AUUGAACGCUGGCGGCAUGCUUUACACAUGCAAGUCGAACGGCAGCACGGGUGCUUGCACCUGGUGGCGAGUGGCGGACGGGUGAGUAAUGCAUCGGAACGUGUCCUAAAGUGGGGGAUAACGCAUCGAAAGAUGUGCUAAUACCGCAUAUUCUCUGAGGAGGAAAGUAGGGGAUCGAAAGACCUUAUGCUUUUGGAGCGGCCGAUGUCUGAUUAGCUAGUUGGUAGGGUAAUGGCUUACCAAGGCGACGAUCAGUAGUUGGUCUGAGAGGACGACCAGCCUCACUGGGACUGAGACACGGCCCAGACUCCUACGGGAGGCAGCAGUGGGGAAUUUUGGACAAUGGGCGCAAGCCUGAUCCAGCAAUGCCGCGUGAGUGAAGAAGGCC
rnacentral:rRNA from 1 species